rnacentral:rRNA from 1 species
GGGGCCGCACAAGCGGUGGAGCAUGUGGUUAAUUCGAAGCAACGCGAAGAACCUUACCAGGUCUUGACAUCCCGAUGCUAUUUCUAGAGAUAGAAAGUUACUUCGGUACAUCGGUGACAGGUGGUGCAUGGUUGUCGUCAGCUCGUGUCGUGAGAUGUUGGGUUAAGUCCCGCAACGAGCGCAACCCCUAUUGUUAGUUGCCAUCAUUCAGUUGGGCACUCUAGCGAGACUGCCGGUAAUAAACCGGAGGAAGGUGGGGAUGACGUCAAAUCAUCAUGCCCCUUAUGACCUGGGCUACACACGUGCUACAAUGGUUGGUACAACGAGUUGCGAGUCGGUGACGGCGAGCUAAUCUCUUAAAGCCAAUCUCAGUUCGGAUUGUAGGCUGCAACUCGCCUACAUGAAGUCGGAAUCGCUAGUAAUCGCGGAUCAGCACGCCGCGGUGAAUACGUUCCCGGGCCUU